AACGAACGCUGGCGGUAUGCCUAACACAUGCAAGUCGAACGGCACCUUCGUAAGUAGUUGCUCUUACGGGCGUCGCGUGGGGGAAGCGUCAGGAAGACAUCGAAAUCUUCUCUUUAGGGGGGGCUAAUACAGGGAAAUUUACGCUGACACAACAUACAACGCACGUGUGUAAGCCGGCGUUCUUUGAACCUUUUGCUAUUGAAUGAGCCGAUGUCGGAGUAGCUAGUUGGCGGGGCAAAGGGGCACCAAGGCGACGAUCCGUAGCUGGUCUGAGAGGAUGAUCAGCCACACUGGAACUGAGAAACGGUCCAGACUCCUACGGGAGGCAGCAGUGGGGAAUAUUGGACAAUGGGCGCAAGCCUGAUCCAGCCAUACCGCGUGGGUGAAGAAGGCCUUCGGGUUGUAAAGCCCUUUUGUUGGGAAAGAAAAGCAGCAGGUUAAUACCCCGCUGUUCUGACGGUACCCAAAGAAUAAGCACCGGCUAACUUCGUG
rnacentral:rRNA from 1 species